GACGAACGCUGGCGGCAUGCCUAAUACAUGCAAGUCGAGCGAACUGACGGAGGAACUUGUUCCUCUUGACGUGAGCGGCGGACGGGUGAGUAACACGUGGGAAACCUACCCUUCAGCGGGGGAUAACCGUCGGAAACGAUGGCUAAUACCGCAUAGGUCUUUGAGUCACCUGGCUUAAAGAGGAAAGACGGCUUCGGCUGUCACUGAAGGAUGGUCCCGCGGUGCAUUAGCUAGUUGGUAAGGUAAUGGCUUACCAAGGCAAUGAUGCAUAGCCGACCUGAGAGGGUGAUCGGCCACACUGGGACUGAGACACGGCCCAG
rnacentral:rRNA from 1 species